GGGCCCGCACAAGCGGUGGAGCAUGUGGGUCAAUUGGAUGCUACGCCAAGAACCUUACCAGGGUUUGACAUGUUGGCGACCGCGUGAGAGAUCACGUUUCUCCCGCAAGGGAGCGCCAUCACAGGUGGUGCAUGGCUGUCGUCAGCUCGUGUCGUGAGAUGUUGGGUUAAGUCCCGCAACGAGCGCAACCCUCACCGGAUGUUGCCAUCGGUUCGGCCGGGCACUCUUCCGGAACUGCCUGAGCAAUCAGGAGGAAGGCGAGGACGACGUCAAGUCCGCAUGCCCCUUAUGCCCUGGGCUGCACACGUGCUACAAUGGCCGGUACAAAGGGCUGCGAAGCCGCGAGGUGGAGCCAAUCCCCCAAAACCGGUCCCAGUUCGGAUUGGAUGUCUGCAACUCGACUCCAUGAAGCUGGAAUCGCUAGUAAUCGCGGAUCAGCAACGCCGCGGUGAAUACGUUCUCGGGCCUU
rnacentral:rRNA from 1 species